CCAGGGCUGCCAGUUCAACUCACAAGCUCAGAAACAUACCACCAAAGACAGGUUGGUUGCCUCAAAUCAGAGGUGCUGCUCCAGCUGCCAAGAGCCUGCAAGCCAUAACCUUAACAAGCAAUGGCAAGAUACAAACGCAGCAGGAGCAAAAGCAGGAAUUGUCGCUGGAGGCGACCCAGAGGAGGUCGCGGAGGGGGAUAUAGAAGGAGUAGAAGGAAGAAAUAUGGUAGAAGGAGGAGAGGUCGCAGAGGUAGAUCGAGGAGGAGAAGCAGUAGGAGGAGCAGUAGGAGCGAGAGGAGGAGGAGAAGGAGAAGGAGGAGAAUGAGCUAUUAAACUCCAGAUGGCUUCCUGUUCUCCUGUACUCAUAAACUUGAAAGUCAUCAACCAUUAUCUUCAACUUCUGCUCAUCAAAAUGGCAUAAAAAAUAAAAAAAAAAUCCUUCCAUCAAAACCCUAGCAAUGACCUCCCAAGAUGCAAGCAGUUUGAACAGUGCCACCUCUCAAUAAACUUGUGAAACUUCA